rnacentral:lncRNA from 1 species
AUUCUCCUUUCCCUCCUCUCCAUCUCCCUAUUGCAUUGUGUCUGACUGAUUUUCAGAGCACCUUCGCUGUUUCCCCCUUCUCGUUCCCUUCUCAUAAAAUAUCUAGACAGGAAGGAGGUGGCUGCAGAGGCUGAACAAUCUCAUAUUCUGCCUGCAAUGUCAUCGUUUCUUUCCCCCAUUUUAGGGGGCUGAAGUUGCCCAGCAAGGGAUGCAGAGGAGCUGGAAAAGAAGGGGGGAGCUCUCCAGAGGCAGCUGCGGUCAGGGGCAGGGACUGCCGCCAGAUGUGCCUGCCUUUCUGGGCUUUGAUGAGAAAGGGGCAGCAGGAGGAAAUAUUGGGAGACAAAAGCCCCGGUUUAAAUGAUCAUUUUCUUUAUUUAACAUGGCAGCAGACACUCUCUGCGUAGGAUCAUCAUGCCGAGCAUAAACUGGACUUUCCCACUUGCCUGGCAGGAGUCACACAGAUCCCUGCGUGCUAAAUGAACAUCUGAGGUUUGAGAUGGGGCCCAAGAUGCUUUUCUGACAAGUUUCCUGGUGAUGCAAUGUUGCUGUUGGGGAAACCUCCAUUUGACCCUUGAAUCCUGACUAUUGGAGAAACAGCACCAUAUUUUGGAUACUGAUUCAGACCAUAUACAGCCUUCUGGAGAAUCUUGCCCCAGUCCUGAAAGGUAUUUCUAUUCAUCUAGUUGGUGCUAUAACUGAGUCUUCAAAAGACAAUUCCACUGUUCUAUCAAGAAAGCUGCUUCAGGAUGGUGGGAAAUAUGGUUUUGGUAUCAGGAUGAUGCUGGCAUCAUAAAAUGAGUAUUUUUCUUCAGACUUCAGACUGCUGUGCUGGAAGCAAGAAUUUCAAGCAUUGGAUCUUAGCUUGCUGGGCUCCAUAGGGGUGGGAUCCACUGAGCUAGACCACUUGGCUCCCUGGCUUCAGCCCCCUUCCAGAUUCAAACUAAUGGUGUCUCACCAACACAUGGCAUGAGAACACCUGUAGCAAUCUGUUUGACAGUCAUUCACGAGCAACUUAGAAUUGCAAGAAAGAUGUCCUUGGCGUGUACACCCUGUGGAAUCUGGUUCAUCUUCAAUCUGUCAGAAGGCAUCAGAGGUGGUUUUGACUCCUUAUGUCUUGGACCUGUGCACAAAAAGUACGGGCAGGAGAGGAUGCAGGAGACUGUACAAAGUUCAAGAAACGAUAUGCUUUAAUCAAGGUAAAAUGGAUGGAACAUCAGACAGCUCAUUAUAGAGACAAGUAAGCUCCAGUUCCAAAGUUGGUUGACAGAACAAGUCAUGACCUUGUGUGGAGGAAAAUGAGAUCCCGAGUGAAGUCUACAAUGUCAUUGACUCUGAAGAAGGACUCAGAGACCCAUUGGUGUUUAAUGACCCUUACUGGCCUAUGCAAUGGAAACUGGUAUGAUCUUCAGAAAUAGAUGGUUCUUUGGCAGUGUUAAGAAAUAUUAUUUUUGUCAUGUUCUAAUGCAGUAGAUAGGCACUUUUAUGCACUGCCUGCUUUUAUCUAUUGGUUUUGCAGAGAGAGACUUAGCAAACUUUUGAUGAAAUAUUACUGCCAUCUUAUUAAUGAACACUAAUCCUUUUAAUUUGAUUACAUCCUUAGGGUUUGAUUUAAUCUAUAAAAGACACCAGUAAAAACCCCAAGAUAUUUAAAUUUGGUGUGUGUAAACAGACUCAUUACAUAGAAAUGUUGUUGCCAUUCAGGCUUGAAGUUUUUGUUCUUGCAUAACUUAGAAUAUAUUCUAUAUUACAUCAAUACUGAGAGAACUUGUCUUUAUGGAUUAAGUGGAUGUUAGAACAUUGCCCAACAGACUUUUUUUCAUAAUGCUUAUUUUGUUGGACCUUUUAGUAUCACAUUGCCCUCCCAUUUAUAUAAGACGGUAAUAAUGAAAAGGUUUGAGAAAAGCACCCUUAAUUUUGAAUGCAAAUAAGUUUAAAAAAAUGAUGUACAUACCAUGGAAAAUUUUAUAAGGAAACAUUUAAAAUGUGAAGAUAACUUGGUGAUAAUAUUGGAGAGAAAUUACAACCUUAUUAUAUGCAUAAUUAGUUCUUCAUAGGUCUGCAGAUUAUAUUGUGUUGUAGAGGGUCCAAUGUUGCAAAAUGAGGAAAAGGUUAGGUGCAUUUUAUCAUUUUAAGGGCCAUGAUGAGAUAAAACAUGGUAAGCUGUUGUGCUGGCUCUUUUUAUGUUGAUCAUUGGCAGUUACCAAGCUGACUAUCUGACAUGAGCUGAAAACCUAUGUUGAAAAAAUGUCCAGUUCCAUUUUAUGUAGCUUCAACUCAUCUUUAAAAAAUGAAGUGAUUUAGAACACAUGUCACGCACUCCUGGGCCAGCCAGCUUCCCUUUCUCUCCUCGUAUGUAAUAUCUUUUUUUCCCCUUUCUAGCAAGUACUUUCAAAAGAACUCUGUACAUUUUAACAUAAAAAAUAAAUUAUGUUGGGCCAUUUUGGAAAAAAAAUACUUAUUUGGCUAAAUUUAACAUUUCAAACAAAUAAAAAAUUCAAGCAGAAAAUAAUUGAGGACUGCUUCAGUUUCCUGGAGGUGGUAUAAUCAGUAACAAUUUAGUGAACUAGAGUCAAUCAGGAUUAUGAAAGUCAAAGAGAAAAAGAGUGAUAUUAAGAAAAAGGACUGAGGAAAGGUAACUAGAUAAGGAAGAAGGGCAUGAAAUAUGAAAAAAAAAACCUUUCUUUUUUUUCUUUACCUGAAGAAACAGCAAAAAUUAAGAUGAGUACUUGAAGAUUACACAUAUGACACAUUGUAAUUUGUCACCUCAGAAAGAAUACUUUCUUGUAUUGGCAAUAAAAUGUCAAGCCCCUCUAUAAUGAGGUCAAGAAUUUCAGCAGACACAAUAGGGAAAGGAGAUGGAGGGCAAGUAAUACAGGAAAGAAGAGAAGAAUUGAGUAGCAAGCAGUCAAUAAAGUGACAGGGAUUAGAAAUGGAGAGAAGUCUUAGAGACCAUUAAGCAAUAGAUCCUCUUAAAAGCAGCAUAGAAGAGAUCAUGAAAGGAAAAAGCAGAAAAAAGAAGUUGUAUGAUGACCCUAUAUCAUUUUCUAGGGCAGGAGUUGAUAAACCUUUCCUGUAAAAGUUCAGAUAGUAUAUAUUCAGGGUUUGUGGGCCACAUAAUUGGCUGUGGCAUAUUCUUUUGUUUCUUUAUUUCAGAUUUUUUAAAAUGUAAAAACCAUUUUUUCACUUAGGGCCAUAUGAAAACAGGUUAUAGGCUGGAUUUUACUCACUGGCCAUAGUUUACUGACACCAGUAGGGAGUGGGAGCUAUGGAGAAAUGAGGAGUCAGGGAGGAAGCAGCCAUUCAGAUGUAGGCCUUCAAGUGCUGUGCUGAGUUAUACCCACAUUACACUAGUACAAUUCAGAGAUGAAAGGUCUGGAUUAUUAUUAUUUCCAGGUAGCACCAUUCUGGAGGCACAUCUACCAUUAUGGAAAAGAUUCGUUUUAGUACCCAGGCAAGGCAUGGUACAUAAUUGCAAAGAAUGGGCUGCACUUUACAACUGGAUGGUGUAUCUAAAACAUAUUAAUAACAACAGACCUAAACUGUGUUGCAGAAUCCAUCCUCUCACCAGAAUACCAACUUUAUUUCAAUGAAAGACUGAGUGGUUCAGGGUGUUGUGCUGCCUUAACAGGGAAAUUUGAGGCCUUAUUCUGAUGAGCACCCUUUAAGCAGCCUCCUUCAGUUACUAGUUUCUCUCUCCGCUCUUCACAGCCAACCUUCCUGAAAUGGUCUUUCUUAUCUUCAUUUUUGUGCUCAUCUACUCCUCAGCCAACACUUGUAGCAAUCUGGUUUUGUGAUGCCCUUCCACGUAUCUCUGCCAUCGUGUCACCCCCACACUCUCUACUUAAUCUCUCAAUGCAACAGAGACUUUUCAGUUCUUGUGUUACUUGAAUCAUCAAUUAUGAACUUAUAACUACUCAUAUAAAACCUUUGAUAAUUAAAAUCAGAUUUCUAAUAUUCAUUCAUUCAUUCAUAAUAUUCCUUUGCUGACAUUACUAGUUUCAAUUCUGGCUGUUUUGGUUCUAGACUACAAACUAAAUACAACAAACCCCAUAAGAAUGCAAAUAGCCGUGAUUCCUCUCCCAAAGCUCUUUGAUUGUGCCUCCCCAGCAUUCCUUCCUGACUAAUUCCAUCUUGUAUUCCAAAAUUGACUCUGGCACUAAAUCCUAAGAGGAGAUUUUUUUUUAACCUACUACCAAAGUGAAUUAGGCCACUUUUCCUCUGCACUCCCAUGAAACAGUUGUGCCCUCGCUGCCAUUUGAAUGAGUAAACACAUGAAUUAAUCAAUGGGUUAAUGCUUAGCAAUUUGUGGGAGCUCUCAACUUGAGAAUAAUAUGCUUAAGGACAGGGAUUAUGCCUUACUCCUAGUCCCUCUUGCAACCCAUGCCAAGAAACCUGACAUUUUAAAAUACCAUAUUAGUAUUUGUUUAAUGAGAAAAUUUUAGAAUGCAUAUAUAAAUGUAGCUACUCAUUUUUCUUCACUUUUCUAUUCUAAAGUCCAAAAAUCUGUUUAGUCCUUACUUGCUACAAACCUGUAUUCUAAUAAAUAUUGUUCUCACUUGGAAAAUAAACUCCCAUCUCUUUACCAAUAAUU